AAAAAAUCAAACCCUAAGUUUUCGUGUCCAACUUUGACUGUCUGUCUUAUAUAAAAUUUUUUUAUAAUUCGUAUUUUUAUUGUUGUUAGAUGAUAAAACAUGAUUAAUAUUUUAUGCGUGAUUUGUAUUUUUAAUUUUUUUCAUAAUUUUUUUAAAUAAGAAAAACAGUACAACGUUGGACACGAAAAUCAGG
rfam:Oryza sativa Japonica Group DNA, chromosome 7, cultivar: Nipponbare, complete sequence.